AUGAACGCUGGCGGCGUGCCUAACACAUGCAAGUCGAACGGGACUAUCUUGAGAUGUUUCGGACUGAUCUUAUAGUUAGUGGCGGACGGGUGAGUAACGCGUGGACAACCUGCCUUCACAGGGGGAUAGCAGCUGGAAACGGCUGGUAAUACCGCAUACGCUCAUGUCACCGCAUGGUGAUAUGAGGAAAGAUUUAUCGGUGAAAGAUGGAUCCGCGUCUGAUUAGCCAGUUGGCGGGUAACGCCCACCAAGCGACGAUCAGUAGCCGGCCUGAGAGGGCGGACGGCCACAUUGGGACUGAGACACGGCCCAGACUCCUACGGGAGGCAGCAGUGGGGGAUAUUGCACAAUGGGCGCAAGCCUGAUGCAGCGACGCCCGCGUGAGUGAAGAAGUAUUUCGGUAUGUAAAGCUCUAUCAGCAGGGAAGAAAGGCCCCUUUGGGGAGAUGACGGUACCUGACUAAGAAGCCCCGGCUAACUACGUGCCAGCCGCUGC
rnacentral:rRNA from 1 species